GGAGGAAUAUUGGUCAAUGGACGCAAGUCUGAACCAGCCAUGCCGCGUGAAGGAAUAAGGCCCUAUGGGUCGUAAACUUCUUUUGUAUGUGAGCAAUAAGGUCCACGUGUGGUCCGAUGAGAGUAGCAUACGAAUAAGCAUCGGCUAACUACGUGCCAGCAGCCGCGGUAAUACGUAGGUGGCAAGCGUUAUCCGGAUUUACUGGGUGUAAAGGGCGCGUAGGCGGGGAUGCAAGUCAGAUGUGAAAUCUAUGGGCUCAACCCAUAAACUGCAUUUGAAACUGUAUCUCUUGAGUGUCGGAGAGGUAGAUGGAAUUCCUAGUGUAGCGGUGAAAUGCGUAGAUAUUAGGAGGAACACCAGUGGCGAAGGCGAUCUACUGGACGAUAACUGACGCUGAGGCGCGAAAGCGUGGGGAGC
rnacentral:rRNA from 1 species